rnacentral:rRNA from 1 species
UACGGAGGGUGCAAGCGUUAUCCGGAUUCACUGGGUUUAAAGGGUGCGUAGGCGGGCAGGUAAGUCAGUGGUGAAAUCCUAGAGCUUAACUCUAGAACUGCCAUUGAUACUAUCUGUCUUGAAUAUUGUGGAGGUAAGCGGAAUAUGUCAUGUAGCGGUGAAAUGCUUAGAUAUGACAUAGAACACCUAUGGCGAAGGCAGCUUACUACGCAUAUAUUGACGCUGAGGCACGAAAGCGUGGGGAUCAAACAGG